GAAAGAGGCUCGCUGCAGCAAAGGCCGCUACCCUAAAGCUCCAUUCGGUUGAACUCCAAUGCUCUUUCG
rnacentral:tRNA from 1 species